rnacentral:lncRNA from 1 species
GUGACAUAUGUUUACUCUUUGUAAUCCCAACCAGUUUCUUAUGCCCUCCCCUUACAGAAAUAUGUCUUACACAUCUGUAACAUAAGUGAAAUAUUUUGGAGGGUUUCAACCCAUCACAUAUCAGAUGCUCUUUUUUCCAGCUUUACAGGACAGUCUAAUCUUAAUGAACUGGGAAUAGUUGCUGCCACUAGAUCUUUUCUGUUUUAAACAGUGCAAUUUCUGAGAAAAAGACGGUUUACUUUUAGCAAUCAGAAAGGAGGUGAUUCAGCGCUUGUAGAAUACUGGUAUAGUUCAAGGGCAGCUUAGUCACCAAAUCUGCAGCCUCUCUAGUCCGGUGAAGGAGGAGAAGCAGAAGGAUGGUGUAGCACCUGCAAUGUCGUUGCAAAUAUGUAAAAUAAAAUAAAUUGAUGGUGUAGUAUGUCAAAUACAGUGAUAAAGAUGAAAAGAGGUAAUCCACUCACACUUUUUGGGAGCCUGGGUGUAGCUCCAAUCUUUGCGCUUGGUCGGAAUAAUCCCCACCUAGGGAUAUGCUGUGGUCCACGGCUCUGUAGGUGGUCUUCCUCUUUACAACACUAUCUUCAUAGAUAUGUAGAAGGAGAAUAGAGACAAUAUGGUGUAUGUCAAACCACAAAGGGGAGAAGAACUAGAUCAAAAAUAUGCACUCACAUGAUAUGGAGCCAGAACGUCUGCUCCCCGGAUAUGGCUUGGAGUGGUAUAAUCCCCACUCUAGGAUAUAAUAGGUGCUCAUUCCUCUCCGUGUAUAGAUAUAGAAGGAAAAAACAAAAGAAACACAAUAGUGGGUAACUGUAAAACUAAAAUAGGAGCUGUAGAAUAAAACCGUACUCCCAUUCGGUGGAGCAUUGCUCAAUCCAAUGGGCGUAGGUGUUUUUGUCCCCAGCAAGGAUCUAAUUGUCCAUAAAAUCCAGCAGCAAUCAAUAUGGUUCCAUAAAAAAGUACUGAAAUCCGGCACUCGAAGAUCCUGGUGCUGCUUACCCACACCUCCUCCUGAUGCUACUACUAGAAAAAGUGCAGAGGCAGCCUGCAGGUCCCUUAUUACUUCAUUCUGUCAUUUUCCAGCUGCUCAGUUUAGAGGUCAGAACUAUAUAGAACUAUAUAGAAACAUAGAAUGUGACGGCAGAAAAGAAACUUUUGGCCCAUCUAGUCUGCUCAAUUUUCUAAAUAAUUUCAUUAGUCCCUGGCCUUAUCUUGUAGUUAGGAUAGCCUUAUGCCUAUCCCACGCAUGCUUAAACUCCUUUACUGUGUUAACCUCUACCACUUCAGCUGGAAGGCUAUUCUAUGCAAGUAAUACUUCCUGAUUUUUUUAAACCUUUGUCCCUCUAAUUUAAGACUAUGUCCUCUUGUUGUGGUAGUUCUCCUUUUAAAUAUAGUCUCCUCCUUUACUGUGUUGAUUCCCUUUAUAUAUUUAAAUGUUUCUAUCAUAUACCCCCUGUCUCGUCUUUCCUCCAAGCUAUACAUGUUAAGAUCCUUAACCUUUCCUGGUAAGUUUUAUCCUGCAAUCCAUGAACCAGCUUAAUAGCCCUUCUCUGAACUCUCUCUAAGGUAUCAAUAUCCUUCUGAAGAUACAGUCUCCAGUACUGCGUACAAUACUCCAAGUGAGGUCUCACCAGUAUUCUGUACAAUGGCAUGAGCACUUCCCUCU